rnacentral:rRNA from 1 species
UACAGGGGGGGCAAGCGUUGUUCGGAAUUACUGGGCGUAAAGGGCUCGUAGGCGGCCAACUAAGUCCGACGUGAAAUCCCCAAGCUUAACUUGGGAACUGCGUCGGAUACUGGAUGGCUUGAAUUCGGGAGAGGGAUGCAGAAUUCCAGGUGUAGCGGUGAAAUGCGUAGAUAUCUGGAGGAAUACCGGUGGCGAAGGCGGCAUCCUGGACCGACAUUGACGCUGAGGAGCGAAAGUGUGGGGAGCGAACAGG